rnacentral:rRNA from 1 species
UACAGAGGUCCCAAGCGUUGUUCGGAUUUACUGGGCGUAAAGCGCGCGUAGGCGGCUUUGUAAGUUAGAGGUGAAAGCCCGGAGCUCAACUCCGGAACUGCCUUUAAGACUGCAUCGCUAGAAUUGUGGAGAGGUGAGUGGAAUUCCGAGUGUAGAGGUGAAAUUCGUAGAUAUUCGGAAGAACACCAGUGGCGAAGGCGACUCACUGGACACAUAUUGACGCUGAGGUGCGAAAGCGUGGGGAGCAAACAGG